CGAACCCUAGAAACAAAAAUCCCCAAUCGUGUUCGGCGGCGGCGCGGCUGACCGUCACCUCCGUCGGUCAGGCAGCGGGCGGCGCCGCGGCCGACCAUCAUCUGCAUCGAGCGGGGAGAGUGCGGCGCCAUGGCCGUCCAUCAACUGCACUGAUCGGGUGGCGGGCAGCGCCCGGUGGCAGAGAGCGUCAUCUGCUGAGUACAGACGGCGGCAGACGGCGUCAUCUCCAGAGCGGGCUACGUAGGGCGGACGACAUCCUUGCCAUUUCUAAGUGCUGCAGUCGAACAAAGCUUUUGUUCUAUGAUUAGUGCUCUGAAGCUUUUGUUCAUUCUCAGUAUGACUUCCUGAACAGGUACUGAACUUGUAAGUUGUAACCUUGUCCAUCAACUGGUAUUUAUGAUAUGGAGUAUGGACCUCUUUGUUGUUCUGGAGCAUGCUGGAUACCGCGUCCCCGGCGAUGCCGAUGCAACGCCUGUGUUGGGAUCCACCAAAGGGUGACCAAGGAAGAUGCCAUGAAAAAAAGAUGCCAUGAAGUGGUUCUAGGUCAAGUAUGAGUGUGUCAUCCUGAAGAAGUCCCAUGCUAGUUAGUAACCUUUCGAGUGCUUGAGUUGUUGUUAGAGUUUAAGUCAGUCAAACUUCAUCUGGAUCAUGGAAUCGUAUGUUUAUUGGUACAAAGCCGCACUACUAAUUUUGCCUCAUCUGUUAGGCUCACCUGCAUCUAUAUUACCUUUAUUGGAUAAAAAUUGAAGCAGUUGGUUC